CUGUGAGCUCGAUGAGUAGGGCGGGACACGUGGUAUCCUGUCUGAAUAUGGGGGGACCAUCCUCCAAGGCUAAAUACUCCUGACUGACCGAUAGUGAACCAGUACCGUGAGGGAAAGGCGAAAAGAACCCCGGCGAGGGGAGUGAAAAAGAACCUGAAACCGUGUACGUACAAGCAGUGGGAGCCUCUUUAUGGGGUGACUGCGUACCUUUUGUAUAAUGGGUCAGCGACUUAUAUUCUGUAGCAAGGUUAACCGAAUAGGGGAGCCGAAGGGAAACCGAGUCUUAACUGGGCGUUAAGUUGCAGGGUAUAGACCCGAAACCCGGUGAUCUAGCCAUGGGCAGGUUGAAGGUUGGGUAACACUAACUGGAGGACCGAACCGACUAAUGUUGAAAAAUUAGCGGAUGACUUGUGGCUGGGGGUGAAAGGCCAAUCAAACCGGGAGAUAGCUGGUUCUCCCCGAAAGCUAUUUAGGUAGCGCCUCGUGAAUUCAUCUCCGGGGGUAGAGCACUGUUUCGGCAAGGGGGUCAUCCCGACUUACCAACCCGAUGCAAACUGCGAAUACCGGAGAAUGUUAUCACGGGAGACACACGGCGGGUGCUAACGUCCGUCGUGAAGAGGGAAACAACCCAGACCGCCAGCUAAGGUCCCAAAGUCAUGGUUAAGUGGGAAACGAUGUGGGAAGGCCCAGACAGCCAGGAUGUUGGCUUAGAAGCAGCCAUCAUUUAAAGAAAGCGUAAUAGCUCACUGGUCGAGUCGGCCUGCGCGGAAGAUGUAACGGGGCUAAACCAUGCACCGAAGCUGCGGCAGCGACACUAUGUGUUGUUGGGUAGGGGAGCGUUCUGUAAGCCUGCGAAGGUGUACUGUGAGGUAUGCUGGAGGUAUCAGAAGUGCGAAUGCUGACAUAAGUAACGAUAAAGCGGGUGAAAAGCCCGCUCGCCGGAAGACCAAGGGUUCCUGUCCAACGUUAAUCGGGGCAGGGUGAGUCGACCCCUAAGGCGAGGCCGAAAGGCGUAGUCGAUGGGAAACAGGUUAAUAUUCCUGUACUUGGUGUUACUGCGAAGGGGGGACGGAGAAGGCUAUGUUGGCCGGGCGACGGUUGUCCCGGUUUAAGCGUGUAGGCUGGUUUUCCAGGCAAAUCCGGAAAAUCAAGGCUGAGGCGUGAUGACGAGGCACUACGGUGCUGAAGCAACAAAUGCCCUGCUUCCAGGAAAAGCCUCUAAGCAUCAGGUAACAUCAAAUCGUACCCCAAACCGACACAGGUGGUCAGGUAGAGAAUACCAAGGCGCUUGAGAGAACUCGGGUGAAGGAACUAGGCAAAAUGGUGCCGUAACUUCGGGAGAAGGCACGCUGAUAUGUAGGUGAAGUCCCUCGCGGAUGGAGCUGAAAUCAGUCGAAGAUACCAGCUGGCUGCAACUGUUUAUUAAAAACACAGCACUGUGCAAACACGAAAGU
rnacentral:rRNA from 1 species